rnacentral:misc_RNA from 1 species
UUUUAGAGUCUCUGUCAAAAACUGUAACUGGAGCAAAAUCAGAAAAUUGAUUGUCGACGGAUACAUGGACCGUGUAUCACUACGCGGCCCAGGGCCGUGUAACUUACUGAAACUUGAAAGUUGCUUCUCGUAUUUGGACAGAAGAUUACACGGGUCUUGGCCAGUUACACGGGUCCAAUUACACGGCCUGUGUUCUGCUGUUCUUCUUGGAAUUCUUCAAGCUUUGCCA